CUCAUUUUCAUCUCCCUCUAGUCUUCAUCCAAUUCAACUCAUUUCAUUAAAUCCUAAACUCCAGCAGUAAUUGACUUUUUGAAGAUUUCCAGCACUGAACAAGCCUACAGGAUUUUGGUGUCGUUCUAAAGGAGUGCAGAGCAAUAAUAAUUGUGUGAGAAGAAACAUCAGAAGCAGUUGAAGGACCAGGAAGUUGGGCCUCUAGGAAUGAAGAAGCAUUUAAAAAUAUGGCUUUUAAAAAUAUUUCCUCCAGAGUCAUCUGCCUCAUUAACAAUGGUUUUUGUCUUAGGAGUCUCUCUUUGAUUUUAUAAACUGAUGUGAUUUUUUGUUCUAUUAUGAAUGAAUCUAGUCCUUCAAUAAGCUCAUUACACAUCUUCAUCAUGUUGUCUAUAAGCACUUAUUCUACAGCAUUAACAAUGCCAUCUUCAUUGUCACUAUCAUUGUAUCACCUUUUCAGAACCAUUUGAGCAAUUUCAUGACUGGUCAAUGAAUGAACGACUGGAGCCUCAUUAUCGCUAUUAAAAACUUUGCUAGUCACUUCCCCCAGCUUACUGAUGGACUCUGAAGACUUAUUUUUCACAUAUGGAAGGAGGUCAGAUGUUAUUUUUUUCUCACUUGCCAUGUGGAAUCCUGAAAGUCACCACCUUGUUCAUCAUUAUCCCUGAACAUAGUUGUGGGUCAUAGGUUGUGCCAGGCAUGCACAAUUGUGUCUGUAGUCACUGUCUUCAAGUGUUGGCAACAGCAUACAUGGUAUCCUUCAUGCCAAACUCCUUUUGAAAACCUUUCACACUCACACUUAUGGUCGCUGUUGCUAACAUGCUGUUCAUGAAAGUGUUUUUAUAUUUACAGUGAUCUAAGGAAAGCUUGGUACAUGGCUGAAUUAAUGAAGUCAGUUUUUUGGGAAAGUAUGUGGCAUAAACAUUAUUUUUUGAUGAGAAUUUUAGCUGGAAGAUGAGUAGAACAGUUGUCAAGGAAUAACAAAAUCUUGCAGUCAUCAUCCAGUCUUGCUUCACUGAGCAA